ensembl:misc_RNA Metazoa_SRP Metazoan signal recognition particle RNA
GCCGGGCGCGGUGGCUCACGCCUGUAAUCCUAGCACUCUGGGAGGCCGAGGCGGGUGGAUCGCUCAAGGUCAGGAGGUCGAGGCCAGCCUGAGCAAGAGCGAGACCCCGUCUCUCCUAAAAAUAGAAAGAAAUGAUUUGGACAGCUAAAAAUAUAUAUAGAAAAAAUUAGCCGGGCAUGGUGGCGCAUGCCUGUAGUCCCAGCUACUUGGGAGGCCGAGGCGGGUGGAUCGCUCAAGGUCAGGAGGUCGAGACCAGCCUGAGCAAGAGCGAGACCCCGUCUCU